rnacentral:lncRNA from 1 species
CCCCGCUCCAUUAAAGAGUAUCUGGGCUCAGAUCAGGUGUUACAGGGCUGAAGGACAGCUCUAGCGGCAAUUUCUUCUCCAUUCAGGAGGGCACCACGGAGCAGCUGCACUCAGCGAGUUGGGCUACCGACAGCCCAACCUUUCUCCAUGCGUUCCCAUGGCAACAGCGCCCAGGCCCCUACCUGCCCGCUCCCAGGCACAGGCAUUACCUUUCUCCAUCUGUAGAGGCUUUCUUCUUCAGCUGUGCUCCCGGGGCAGAGCCCAGCACUCCUGCAGCAUGGAUUCGGUUCAGGUCCAACCAGGUGCCACCAACGUAAGAAGCUAAAAGCACUAAAACCCUUCGAGCCAUCUGGAAAUGUAAGAACUAUUCAAGAGCAGUCUGGCCCCCUCCUCACACUGGCUCUGCAAGCGCUGCCUGGCCCUCUCCUCACACUGGCUCCGAGGUCUGCACACCCACAUGUAAAUGCAGAGCCUGGCAGUACAUUCAUCACCGUGCUAAUUGGCACCACUUCGCAUCAGGUCAUAUUCCAAUCCUUGGCCAGCGCUCACUGUUUACAUGCCGUGCCCUGCGUGCUGCCACACUGAGCCUGGCUGCAACAGACAGAAUGGCCCCAAAACAGCUGGCUGUGAACAGUGCUAGUCCUAUCAACAAACUUGCCUUCGGGGAUUAAAAUCACAUCGUCCUGG